rnacentral:tRNA from 1 species
AGGGUGUUAGUUUAAUUGGCAAAACGAGAGAUUCUGACUCUCUAAUCCAAGGUUCGACUCCUUGACGCCCUUCCA